GACAUGUUGACCACCCCGAAGAUUCCCGUAUUUAUAAUAGUGCGGGCAUUGAUAAAUGAGGCUAGCAGCCGGCAUACCAGCAAACCUCCUGUCUCUGCCUCCUACCCAGCUGGGUUACAGGGCACAAGACAAGCCCCUGCUUAUUACCUGGUGCUACAUCUGAACUCGGGUCCUGUGGCUGCACAGCAGAUGUUCUAAACCACUGAGGUAAUCCUGAAGAACAAGCCACGUCAACCGGUAAAUGAAUCAUGGAAAGAUCAUUUACUUCUUAGGCAUCCGAAUAGAGCAAGGAAAACAGAAAAGUUUUGUGUGAGGCCUGAUGUGGAGCACUCCGUCGUCCAGGAAUGAACCCCGCCCAGGCUGGCCUCAGACGCUCCUCCCCCUUUCUGAAGCAUGCUCUCCCACACGUGCUUCUAAUUAAGAUUUUAAUACAGACUUCUUGGUUCAGGCUCAUCAGAG
ensembl:lncRNA